rnacentral:rRNA from 1 species
CCUACGGGAGGCAGCAGUGGGGAAUAUUGGACAAUGGGGGCAACCCUGAUCCAGCCAUGCCGCGUGUGUGAAGAAGGCCCUCGGGUUGUAAAGCACUUUCAGUGAGGAAGAACGCCUGGUGGUUAAUACCCAUCAGGAAAGACAUCACUCACAGAAGAAGCACCGGCUAACUCCGUGCCAGCAGCCGCGGUAAUACGGAGGGUGCGAGCGUUAAUCGGAAUUACUGGGCGUAAAGCGCGCGUAGGUGGCUUGAUAAGCCGGUUGUGAAAGCCCCGGGCUCAACCUGGGAACGGCAUCCGGAACUGUCAAGCUAGAGUGCAGGAGAGGAAGGUAGAAUUGCCGGUGUAGAGGUGAAAUGCGUAGAGAUCGGGAGGAAUACCAGUGGCGAAGGCGGCCUUCUGGACUGACACUGACACUGAGGUGCGAAAGCGUGGGUAGCAAACAGGAUUAGAUACCCUAGUAGUC